GAAUCCGCUAAGGAGUGUGUAACAACUCACCUGCCGAAUGAAGUAGCCCUGAAAAUGGAAGACGCUUAAGCGGGUAGCCGAUACUACGCCGUCUGAAAAAAUAUUUUUUUGGAUGAGUAGGGGGGCGUGGUGAUCGUAUCGAAGCACUGCGUGCGAACGCGUGUGGAACGGUCACUAGUGCAGAUCUUGGUGGUAGUAGCAAAUAUUCAAGUGAGAACCUUGAAGGGCGAAGCGGGGAAGGGUUCCAUGCGAACAUUGAUUGGGCAUGGGUGAGUCGUACCUAAGCCGAGUGGCAAUUGCUUACUCACGCGGCGAAAGGGAAGCGGGUUGAAAUUCCCGCACACGGAUGUGGAAGCGGCGACGCAUUACUGGGGCGGUGACGUUGGCAGUGGCGCUGGGCAGAGUUGUCUUUUCUGUUUAACCGCCUGACGCUUGCACUGUGGAAUCCGCUUGUCGGGAGAAACAGGCAAGGCACGGGUAGAGCGCCGGGCUUUUUUCGGCGUCCAGCUCGCCACUGACGGCCCUUGAAAAACUGUCCUCAGAUAUUAAACUCCACGCCGUGGCGUACCGAUAACCGCAUCAGGUCCCCAAGGUGAACAGCCUCUGCUCGAUAUGAAAAAUGCAGGUAAGGGAAGUCGGCA
rnacentral:rRNA from 1 species